CUGGGUCAAUCCCCGCUCCCUCCGGGGUCACUCUGAGGUUUGAUGCGGCUCCUCCUGUUGGUCAACAGAAGGAACCUCUUCCUCUCGAAGUCGCAAGUUGAUAAACCCCAUACACGCUAAGAAGGAAAAAGGAGCGGAGUUUUCUGUACCGUUGGAAGGAUAAUUUCUCAUUUGCAGCUUUUAUUCAAUUUGUUCAUUCUGUAGUUGGAGAGGGAAAAAGAGCCACCCAUGACCCCGACGUGACUUGAACACGCAACCUUCUGAUCUGGAGUCAGACGCGCUACCAUUGCGCCACGAGGUCACAGUAAGGAGCCCUCUUGCACUGGCCACCCAGCAAGGUCACUGAGGAAGAGCCAGUGCCUUUCCCACAGAGGUCAAGAGUCAAGAAUCUACUGGAAGGAAUGCCUCACACCCAAGGAAAUACCAGAGACACUCUUGAAACCCCUGCUCAGAUUUUUGGAUACACCUGUCAUGUCUCAGCCCCUCUUCUGGGAUGUGGAACCAAAACCUGUUUUUCAUUCUAUGAUAUGGGCAUUCCAUUAAACUACAGUGUGGUGUUAAUCAAAUUAAGGUUGUAAUGGAGUCCAACCAAAUCACUCUAAUUGAAUACCCAGAAUAACCAGAGUGUAAACUUCUCUCAUUACUUGAUGGAUGUGUAAAUUGGGGAAUCAUCAUCACAUAAUGAUUUACAAGCCUACUCUGAGUGGUCAGAUCUUUGUCAUUUUAUCAGUUACUUUUCCUGAGGGUCUACUAAUCCCUGGCACUAUAGGUGUGACCCUCAUUUAUUUUAGUUCCUAUACUUUCUAACCCAGCGUGUUUGAUGAAUGUUUCCAGAAGUUCGAUAAGAUUUAGACUAAAUUUCAUCUACAGGCUCGAGAUAUGUCCAACUGGACAAUGGCCUCCACUGAAGGCAUCACAUGGAAUAGAAGCACUGCCCCAAUGCAUCCAUUUUUCUCAGGUGCUCCCCACCCCGCUACUACUGGAUGGAUACAGUGAUGAGGGAGCUACGCAGCAGGUGCUUGGAUGGGAAACCCCGGCCAAGACAUGGGUGGGCCUAGGAGACUCGGGUGUGAAACAUAGCAACCCCAGCCCUGGGCCCUCAUGGUCGAUAAUUGAGGCUAAAGCAGGAAACCCAAGGCCUAAGAUUGGACCUGAGGCUCCUAAGUGGGACAGAUGAGUGCAGCUUGCUCAGCAGGGUGGGUGCUGAGGAAAUGGGGAGGAAUGCCCAGUGUGAGGAGAACAGCCGCAGAGCCCCCUCUCUGCACAAACUUGGUCUGUUGUCAUACUGGAACCCAGCUUUUAUCUGAGCUGCACGCCCAUCUGGCCAAUCCCAGCUAAGGCUCUGCAUGUGUCACAAUGGGACGUCUGUGACAUCAUCAGUCUCCUUCGCAGGUUGCUGUAUCCACAGAAGUGUCUCGUACCAUUUCCUGCCCCAGAGCCAUAUCCCACGACUGUCCUUGCCAUUCCAGCUCUGGCCUCCAUCUGCGCCAUACUCUGCUCUGUAGAAUCAGGUGCCCCACUCUACAGAGAUGCACUUGGGGCCCAGGGACAAUGACUUACCUAGAGUCACCUUGGCAGUUGGAAGUGAAGAAAUUUCCCAUACAUGCUGUCUACAGGAGCUGCUGUGUCCAAGAGGUGCUGUGUCCAAGAAGACAUAGGAAUGAAAGUGAGCACCGAUAACCAAGCACAAGGUGUUGGGACGGUUUUUCCUGCAGGCCCCCCCCCCCAAGAGCUCAAUCUCCCUCCUUAUCGGAGCUCCAUCCCCCUCCUUACCGAAUCUCCAUCACCCUCCUCCUCCCAUACCUUAUCCGAGAUGUCUCCCGCGGGCACCACAGUUAGAGGCCUUCCUGUCAAAACAAAUGUUGGAGAAACACAGCUGCUAGGGACAGAUCUCCCUGGCACCCCAGCCAGAUUCCCCCCCCCCAUCCUGGAGGCCUAAACAUAUAAAACAAAGCACCUGAUCUCAGUUAGUGCUCAGUUCUUUGGGAACAAUCCCACUGAGCCCGCUGGUGUAAUAAAGCUGUGUUCUCCCUGAUCUCUGCGAGCCGCUUGAGUCUCUCGUUCCUCGUCAUUUCUUCCGCAACAACGGGAGCUUGGAGUCUUUGUU